rnacentral:rRNA from 1 species
CAACGGGUAACGGAGAACUAGGGUUCGGUUCCGGAGAGGGAGCCUGAGAGAUGGCUACCACUUCCAAGGAAGGCAGCAGGCGCGCAAUUACCCAAUAGCGAUACGCUGAGGUAGUGACAAUAAAUAACAAUACGGGUGUUGCAAAACAUUCGUAAUUGGAAUGAGUACAAUUUAAAUCCCUUAACAAGGAACAAUUGGAGGACAAGUCUGGUGCCAGCACCCGCGGUAAUUCCAGCUCCAAUAGCGUAUAUUAAAGUUGUUGCAGUUAAAACGCUCGUAGUCGAACUUUGAAGCGGAGCGGGAAUGGUCCAUCCGGGAAGGGUGGUACUGUCUCGCUUGCUUCCAAUCCCGACCCGCGCCGCUGUUCUUAACUGAGUGGCGGUCAGGAUCGGGGACUUUACUUUGAAAAAAUUAGAGUGUUUAAAGCAGGCGAUUUCGCACUUGAAUACAUUAGCAUGGGAUAAUGAAAUAGGGCGGCAUUCCUAUUUCGUUGGUUUAACGGAUUGUUGCAAUGAUUAAUAGAAAUAGUUGGGGUUAUUCAUAUUUAGUUGUCAGAGGUGAAAUUCUUGGAUUGAAGAAAGAUGAACUGCAGCGAAAGCGUUUAACAUGGACGUUUUCAUUGAUCAAGAACGAAAGUCGGGGGAUCGAAGACGAUCAGAUACCGUCGUAGUCUCGACUAUAAACUUUGCCGACCAAGGAUUGAACGACGUUACUUGGAUGACUCUUCCAGAACUUUGUGAGAAAUCAUAAGUUUUUGGGUUCCGGGGGGAGUAUGGUCGCAAGGCUGAAACUUAAAGGAAUUGACGGAAGGGCACACCAGGAGUGGAGCCUGCGGCUUAAUUUGACCCAACACGGGAAAACUCACCGGGUCCGGACACAAUAAGGAUUGACAGAUUGAAGCUCUUUCUUGAUUUUGUGGGUGGUGGUGCAUGGCCGUUCUUAGUUGGUGGAGUGAUUUGUCUGGUUAAUUCCGUUAACGAACGAGACCGCAACCUGCUAAAUAGCGGCGUUCAGCGUCUUUACGAGUGAAACCGGUGAUGUGGUCCUGCUCUCGCAAGGGAGUGGGCCCUCGUCGGCGGAUCUUUGAUGACUGGAUAGCCGCUUCUUAGAGGGACUAUUGGGGUUACCCAUUGGAAGUGCGGCAAUAACAGGUCUGUGAUGCCCUUAGAUGUCUCGGGCUGCACGCGCGCUACAAUGGAGGUUAGGCAGCGAGUUUGACUGGCUCCGCAGAGUCGGUUAAUCUUGUAGUCCCCUCCGUGAUGGGGAUAGAUCAUUGUAAUUAUUGAUCUUGAACGAGGAAUUCCUAGUAAGCGCAGGUCAUCAGCCUGCGCUGAUUACGUCCCUGCCCUUUGUACACACCGCCCGUCGCUCCUACCGAUUGAAUGGUCCGGUGAAACCUUCGGACUGGGGCGGACCGAUUUCGGGAAACCGGGGUCGCCGUUUCGGAAAGUCGGGUGAACCUUAUCAUUUAGAGGAAGGAGAAGUCGUAACAAGGUCUCCGUAGGUGAACCUGCGGAGG